rnacentral:rRNA from 1 species
AGGAAUUGGCGGGGGAGCACCGCAACGGGAGGAGCGUGCGGUUUAAUUGGAUUCAACACCGGAAAACUCACCAAGGGCGACUGUUACAUGAAGGCCAGGCCGACGACCUUGCCGGAUUUUCAGAGAGGUGGUGCAUGGCCGUCGUCAGUUCGUACCGUAAGGCGUUCUCUUAAGUGAGAUAACGAACGAGACCCUCACCGAUAAUUGCUACUUCUUCCUCCGGGGAGGAGGCACAUUAUCGGGACCGCUGGCGCUAAGCCAGAGGAAGGAGAGGUCAACGGUAGGUCAGUAUGCCCCGAAUCUCUUGGGCUGCACGCGCGCUACAAAGGGCGGGACAAUGGGCUCCGACGCCGAGAGGCGGAGGCAAUCCCGAAACCCGUCCGUAGUUCGGAUUGAGGGCUGUAACCCGCCCUCAUGAAGCUGGAUUCCGUAGUAAUCGCGAAUCAACAACUCGCGGUGAAUAUGCCCCUGCUCCUUGCACACACCGC